rnacentral:rRNA from 1 species
CCUACGGGUGGCAGCAGUGGGGAAUAUUGCACAAUGGGGGAAACCCUGAUGCAGCGACGCCGCGUGAAGGAUGAAGUAUUUCGGUAUGUUAACUCCUAUUAGUCGGGAAGCAAAUGACGGUACCUGACUCAGAAGCCCCGGCUAACUACGGGCCAGCAGCAGCGGUCAGACGGAGGGGGAAAGCGGUAUCCGGGUUUACUGGGGGUAAAGGGAGAGUAGACGGCAUGGCAAGUCUGAUGUGAAAACCCGGGGCUCAACCCCCGGACGGCAUUGGAAACUGUCAGGCUAGAGUGUCGGAGAGGCAAGUGGAAUUCCUGGUGUAGCGGUGAAAUGCGUAGAUAUUAGGAGGAACACCAGUGGCGAAGGCGGCUUGCUGGACGAUAACUGACGUUGAGGCACGAAAGCGUGGGGAGCGAACAGGAUUAGAUACCCCUGUAGUC